rnacentral:rRNA from 1 species
UUGAACGCUGGCGGAAUGCUUUACACCUGCAAGUCGAGCGGCAGCGCGGCCUUCGGGCUGGCGGCGAGCGGCGAACGGGUGAGUAAUGCAUCGGAACAUGCCCAGUCGUGGGGGAUAACACUUCGAAAGAAGUGCUAAUACCGCAUACGUCCUGAGGGGGAAAGCGGGGGAUCGCAAGACCUCGCGCGAUUGGAGUGGCCGAUGUCAGAUUAGCUAGUUGGUGGGGUAAAGGCCUACCAAGGCGACGAUCUGUAGCUGGUCUGAGAGGAUGAUCAGCCACACUGGGACUGAGACACGGCCCAGACUCCUACGGGAGGCAGCAGUGGGGAAUUUUGGACAAUGGGGGCAACCCUGAUCCAGCCAUUCCGCGUGAGUGAAGAAGGCCUUCGGGUUGUAAAGCUCUUUCGGCAGGAACGAAACGGUGGGCUCUAACAUAGUCCGCUAAUGACGGUACCUGAAGAAGAAGCACCGGCUAACUACGUG